rnacentral:rRNA from 1 species
UACAGAGGGUGCGAGCGUUAAUCGGAAUUACUGGGCGUAAAGCGCGCGUAGGCGGCUUUGCAAGUCGGGUGUGAAAUCCCCAGGCUUAACCUGGGAACUGCAUUCGAGACUGCAUUGCUAGAGUAUGGGAGAGGGAAGUGGAAUUUCCGGUGUAGCGGUGAAAUGCGUAGAUAUCGGGAGGAACACCGGUGGCGAAGGCGGUUCUCUGGGCCUGUACUGACGCUGAGGAGCGAAAGCGUGGGGAGCGAACAGG